rnacentral:lncRNA from 1 species
AAUUCCAUGAACCUUAUCAUUUAGAGAAAGAGUCGUAACAGGUUUCGUAGUGAACCUGCGGUAGGAUCAUUGUCGAACCCUGACAAGCAGAACGACGUGAACAAGUUAACACAUCUGCCUUCGGGACCGAAGCAUUUUGUUUCGGCCUUGUGAGUCUUGUCGACGUGCUUCAUGUGUGGACCAUACCUUUGGUUUUGUCAUGGAUGCAUGUUGACAAAAAUAACAACCCCCGGCACGAGAUGUGCCAAGGAAAACCAAAAUUAAAGAAACGUGCUGUUGCGCCCGUUCGCGGUGUGCACUUUCGUGGCUUCUUUGUAAACUUAAACGACUUCGGCACGGAUAUCUCGCUCACGCAUCGAUGAAAACGUAGCAAAUGCGUUCUUUGGUGUGAAUUGCAGAUCCGUGAACCAUCGAGUUUUUUGAACGCAGUUGCGCCGAAAGCCAUUCGGUUGAGGCAUUGCCUGGU